GAGGGUUUAGCUCAGUGGUAGAGGGCAUGCCUAGCAUGCACAAGAUCCUGGGUUCAAUCCCCAGUCCCUCC
rnacentral:tRNA from 1 species